rnacentral:rRNA from 1 species
UCAGAUUGAACGCUGGCGGCAUGCUUUACACAUGCAAGUCGAACGGCAGCGGGGAGGAGCUUGCUUCUCUGCCGGCGAGUGGCGAACGGGUGAGUAAUACAUCGGAACGUGUCGAGAAGAGGGGGAUAACCACCCGAAAGGGUGGCUAAUACCGCAUAAAUUCUGAGGAAGAAAGCUGGGGACCUAGGAAUAGGCCUAGCGCUUUUUGAGCGGCCGAUGUCGGAUUAGCUAGUUGGUGAGGUAAAGGCUCACCAAGGCGAAGAUCUGUAGCGGGUCUGAGAGGAUGAUCCGCCACACUGGGACUGAGACACGGCCCAGACUCCUACGGGAGGCAGCAGUGGGGAAUUUUGGACAAUGGGGGCAACCCUGAUCCAGCCAUGCCGCGUGUAUGAAGAAGGCCUUAGGGUUGUAAAGUACUUUUGUUAGGGAAGAAAAGUCAGCUGUGAAUAAUGGCUGAUACUGACGGUACCUAAAGAAUAAGCACCGGCUAACUACGUGCCAGCAGCCGCGGUAAUACGUAGGGUGCGAGCGUUAAUCGGAAUUAUUGGGCGUAAAGCGAGUGUAGACGGUUAUUUAAGCCAGAUGUGAAAUACCCGAGCCUAACUUGGGAGGUGCAUAUGGAACUGGGUAGCUAGAGUGUGUCAGAGGGAGGUAGAACUCCACGUGUAGCAGUGAAAUGCGUAGAGAUGUGGAAGAAUACCGAUGGCGAAGGCAGCCUCCUGGGAUAACACUGACGUUGAGGCUCGAAAGCGUGGGGAGCAAACAG